AAACCAUCCUGGGGGAGGAAGUGGGCCCUGUCCAGCUGGAAAACCUGGAGGGAGGAAGCCGGCCUCCCUCGCGCUGGGUGUGGCUCGCUCCAGAGGCAGCCGGCUGAGAUCCACUCUGCUCUUGGCCCUGGACAGACAGAGACGGACGGAGAGCCUCCCAGCCCACAGGCACGGAGCUACCUGGGGACAAACUGGAGCUUUGAGUUACACCCAUAACUGCGCCUGCUCCGACCACCAUAGGUGCAGUCCACAAUCCUUGGAUUGGUUUUUGAAUCCUACAAGUGGGAAGGGAGUCAGUAACAAGCCCAGAACUGGAGACUGAGCUGCGCUGACAGGUAGCAGUGGGGAUGCUGACACCUUUGUGCCUGGGGUGGAAAUGGAGACCUGAACCUGUCUGGGCACAGAUGCUCAGGCCAGAGGUCAGAGGCUGUGCAGGACCCGAUUACAGCUGGAGGACAGCAUGAAG
rnacentral:lncRNA from 1 species